GAUGAAGAACGCAGCGAAAUGCGAUAAGUAAUGUGAAUUGCAGAAUUCAGUGAAUCAUCGAAUCUUUGAACGCACAUUGCGCCCGCCAGUAUUCUGGCGGGCAUGCCUGUUCGAGCGUCAUUUCAACCAUCAAGCCCCAGGCUUGUGUUGGGGACCUGCGGCUGCCGCAGGCCCUGAAAACCAGUGGCGGGCUCGCUGUCACACCGGGCGUAGUAGAUUUUAUCUCGCCCUGGGCGUGCUGCGGGUUCCGGCCGUUAAAAAACCCUUUUAACCCAAGGUUGACCUCGGAUCAGGUAGGAAUACCCGCUGAACUUAAGCAUAUCAAUAAGCGGAGGA
rnacentral:misc_RNA from 1 species